rnacentral:rRNA from 1 species
UACGGAGGGGGCUAGCGUUGUUCGGAAUUACUGGGCGUAAAGCGCACGUAGGCGGACCAUCAAGUUGGGGGGUGAAAUCCCGGGGCUCAACCCCCGGAACUGCCUCCAAAACUGCUGGUCUGGAGGUCGAGAGAGGUGAGUGGAAUUCCGAGUGUAGAGGUGAAAUUCGUAGAUAUUCGGAGGAACACCAGUGGCGAAGGCGGCUCACUGGCUCGAUACUGACGCUGAGGUGCGAAAGCGUGGGGAGCAAACAGG